CAGCAGACACAUUCCAGCCAAUCAGCAGCAGACCCUCCCUCUCACACCCUCCUACCUCCUGGACAGCUCACUAAGAAUGCAGCUUCACAAUGAAUGUAAAAUGGAUGCUGUCCAAGAGGUGGGAGGGUCUGGGAGGGAGGGUCUGCUGCUGAUUGGCUGGAAUGUGUCUGCU
rnacentral:miRNA from 1 species